rnacentral:rRNA from 1 species
GGCCAGACUCCUACGGGAGGCAGCAGUGGGGAAUAUUGCACAAUGGGGGAAACCCUGAUGCAGCGACGCCGCGUGAGCGAUGAAGUAUUUCGGUAUGUAAAGCUCUAUCAGCAGGGAAGAAAAUGACGGUACCUGACUAAGAAGCCCCGGCUAACUACGUGCCAGCAGCCGCGGUAAUACGUAGGGGGCAAGCGUUAUCCGGAUUUACUGGGUGUAAAGGGGGCGCAGACGGCGAUGCAAGCCAGGAGUGAAAGCCCGGGGCCCAACCCCGGGACUGCUCUUGGAACUGCGUGGCUGGAGUGCAGGAGGGGCAGGCGGAAUUCCUGGUGUAGCGGUGAAAUGCGUAGAUAUCAGGAGGAACACCGGUGGCGAAGGCGGCCUGCUGGACUGUGACUGACGUUGAGGCUCGAAAGCGUGGGGAGCAAACAGGAUUAGAUACCCCAGUA